CAGACGGACCGGAUGAUCGCCGCCAGCGUUCGCAAGAACAACGGGGGAGGAAAGUCCGAACUCCGCAGGGCAGUGUGCCGGGUAACGCCCGGGAUGCUGGUUUCAAGACCAGCAGACGGCAAGUGCCACAGAGAAGAUACCGCCCCUGGCAACAGAGGUAAGGGUGAAAAGGUGCGGUAAGAGCGCACCGCGCAGGCAGUAAUGCAGGCGGCAAGGUAAACCCCACACGGAGCAAGACCAAAUAGGCGGGAAGAGGCAGCAAUGCCGAACGCGCUGGCCCGGCGCGUCAAACUCGCGGGUAGGUCGCUUGAGCCAUGCAGCGAUGCAUGGCCUAGAGGAAUGAUCAUCGACCGGCAACGGUUACAAAAUUCGGCUUACAGGUCCGUCUGCUCA
rnacentral:RNase_P_RNA from 2 species